GAUGAACGCUGGCGGCGUGCUUAACACAUGCAAGUCGAACGGAAAGGCUCCUGCUUGCAGGGGUACUCGAGUGGCGAACGGGUGAGUAACACGAGGGUGAUCUGCCCUGCACUUCGGGAUAAGCCUGGGAAACUGGGUAUAAUACCGGAUAGGACGAUGGUGUGGAUGCGAUUGUGGAAAGUUUUUCGGUGUGGGAUGAGCUCGCGGCCUAUCAGCUUGUUGGUGGGGUAAUGGCCUACCAAGGCGUCGACGGGUAGCCGGCCUGAGAGGGUGUACGGCCACAUUGGGACUGAGAUACGGCCCAGACUCCUACGGGAGGCAGCAGUGGGGAAUAUUGCACAAUGGGCGCAAGCCUGAUGCAGCGACGCCGCGUGGGGGAUGACGGCCUUCGGGUUGUAAACUCCUUUCGCUAGGGACGAAGCGCAAGUGACGGUACCUGGAGAAGAAGCACCGGCUAACUACGUG
rnacentral:rRNA from 1 species